rnacentral:siRNA from 1 species
UGAAGACUUCACAAUGCCGCU